GAUGAACGCGGGCGGCGUGCCUAAUACAUGCAAGUCGAACGAGUUCUGAUUAUUGAAAGGUGCUUGCAUCUUGAUUUAAUUUUGAACGAGUGGCGGACGGGUGAGUAACACGUGGGUAACCUGCCCUUAAGUGGGGGAUAACAUUUGGAAACAGAUGCUAAUACCGCAUAAAUCCCAAGAACCGCAUGGUUCUUGGCUGAAAGAUGGCGUAAGCUAUCGCUUUUGGAUGGACCCGCGGCGUAUUAGCUAGUUGGUGAGGUAACGGCUCACCAAGGCAAUGAUACGUAGCCGAACUGAGAGGUUGAUCGGCCACAUUGGGACUGAGACACGGCCCAAACUCCUACGGGAGGCAGCAGUAGGGAAUCUUCCACAAUGGACGCAAGUCUGAUGGAGCAACGCCGCGUGAGUGAAGAAGGCUUUCGGGUCGUAAAACUCUGUUGUUGGAGAAGAAUGGUCGGCAGAGUAACUGUUGUCGGCGUGACGGUAUCCAACCAGAAAGCCACGGCUAACUACGUGCC
rnacentral:rRNA from 2 species